rnacentral:rRNA from 1 species
UACGAAGGGGGCUAGCGUUGCUCGGAAUCACUGGGCGUAAAGGGCGCGUAGGCGGCUCGCCAAGUCGGGGGUGAAAGCCCGUGGCUCAACCACGGAAUGGCCUUCGAUACUGGCAGGCUUGAGACCGGAAGAGGACAGCGGAACUGCGAGUGUAGAGGUGAAAUUCGUAGAUAUUCGCAAGAACACCAGUGGCGAAGGCGGCUGUCUGGUCCGGUUCUGACGCUGAGGCGCGAAAGCGUGGG